GAACAAAAAAAACGUGACCACAUUAGAAUCCGAGCAGAGCUCCAAUCCUGCAUUCUGAUGACACCUUGUAAGUAAAAGCUUUAUUAAUUGACUACAUGAGCACAUUUUUAUAAUAACUCGUGCCAGGUGUAACUAAUGCCUUUUAUAUGCAUGCUAAAUUGACUUCAUUGUUUUAUUGAAAUUGUGUGGCUUCAUGUUUUUGAGUUGUAUACGCAGUAGUUUCAGUUAAUACUUUUUUAUACUAUGGCUGUUUACAUCUUGGCAGUUUUUGUGUGUAAAUAUUGCUGCAGUAAUUUCUAUGGAAUGCAUAAUCAUCUAGUGUCAUCUGCCUUACCUUUUCUGCGGAUUUAAUACCCGCCUUCAUGCAGCCACUGUAAUAUCCACAGUGUGUAUAUUUGGUGUUUUCGGCUUUGAAUCCCUUUUGUUCUCUUCCAAAUUUUUUUUUCAGACACAACGGCUCUCUGUUAUGGGGGGCUGGUACUUAAGACGCUUUACUGCGGGCAUCCUACCCACUAUUUUCAGACUGUUUUGGUGGAAACUUAAGCUAGACUCUAGGCCAGCGGCGGAAAAAGCUUCAGGGACAUGCAUGUCUACAGUGUCAUGGAAGGUAAGAUUAGAGGGCUGCUGUUUGACUGGGCCUAGAGAUAAAGUGCAGUGACUCUUACUCACAAAAUACAUGCUAUUUUGAAUGAAAAAAAUAAAUAAAAACAUGAACACAUUUGAAAAAAAAUAUCCAUCCAGUGUAGCUAAGUCGGGUGGACAUCUUUUUCUUUUAUAAGCCUUCCUCCCCCUUGCAGUUCCAUAGAACUGAUGUUCCACAAAUUUUAUUUACGAGUUGCAAAUCUGUUCGUAUGUAGCAAUGGUUCGGAUAUCAGCCACAACUGCUGAUACCGUGUACACGUGCUACUUGCACUGUUUGACUAGAUGGUUUGGUAUUCCAGAAGCUAUUCAUAGCAAUACCACGUGGGAAAAUGUGAUGACCGAUGCCAUUCGCCAAGCAGCAACUGCCUGGUUGAAGAAUUGCAGUUUGCGAGCGGAUAAAAAGCCAGCACGUUACGUUAAGCUUAGUGUUCAGAUGCAUCAAAGGAUACUGGGCCUGCCGCCAGCUGACAUGCCUUUCUUCCUCCUUAGUUCUGUUAAGGUAUGGGUUCAGUUUUUCUAGACAUGCAAUCCAUAAUAUAUGCAGUCUAGUCAAUCAGUGCACGGCAUUACAUGCCAUUCAUUUCCUAUGUAUAUAUUUAGUCAGAAUCAAAGCAGGACAAGCACAUGUACAUAAUUUGCAAGAAUAAAAUUUUGUUUUUUGCUAAU
rnacentral:lncRNA from 1 species